rnacentral:lncRNA from 1 species
AAAUUAAACAUGCAUACUCUUUAUUCCUCGCCAAAAGCCUACCAUUUAUGAGCAACUUUUUAUAAGGACCCCAUUGCUUCUAAGUAAUUGAGAUUUGCGAUAUAGUAGGAUGAUUUGAAACUUGCUCACUUAUGCAAUGAACUUGGGGAUUUAUUUGAUAAAAUUAAAAUUGCAAAAAGUCUGCUCUUCAAUGAUAGAUAAUUACCUACCAAGGCCAAAUAUAUUACUCUUGAUAAAAAUUCUACAAAUAGCUACUUAUUUGUUUUGAGUUGUGUCAAGUCUUGUUGACCCUUGUUAAGAGAUUUAUCAUGCUCUCAAGAUCAAGAUCACGUACACUUCAGAUACAUAUAUAUGCCGCUUCUACACUGGGAGUGCGCAAAAACGUGCCUUACAUGUCCACCAUACAAACACUCCAUGUUUUAAAGAAUGAUCUCUCUAGUGCAUCUUAGAUAAAGACAUGGGCUAUGCAAAUAUAUAUAUAUAUAUAUAUAUAUAUAUAUAUAUAUAUAUAAAGAGAAGAAAAAAAUGGGCAAGUGCCCGCCGUAGAAUUAGGGGUAUAAAAAUACCCACCUGAAAAAAAAUAUAGGACACAUGAAGGUCCUAAGUAUAUAAAAAAAAGAUGAGCACAUGAAGGCUCACAAGAAAAUAAAAGAGUUAUGAUAGCCAUGUCUAGAAAUACUUGAUGAGAUCAUAUCAACCAACGGAGUUGUUUAUACCAUAUACCACACACUUGCACAUCUUGAUCUAAGGGUAUGACACUUCUCUUCUUGGAUCCGAGAUUUGACUCGACAAUACAUACAAGGUAAGUAUGCAUUCUCCUUGGUCCAUACCCAAAACUCCAAAUACAGCUUAUAGAGGUAGGACAAAUCAAGAGGUACUUUUACCUUGGUAAGGAACUAGAAACAUUCUCGAGUGAUUUGAGAG